CCAAAGGCUCUUUUCAGAGCCAACCACGGUUUCCAAAAAGACUGAU
rnacentral:ncRNA from 1 species